rnacentral:rRNA from 1 species
UGCAAGUCGAACGAUGAACCACUUCGGUGGGGAUUAGUGGCGAACGGGUGAGUAACACGUGGGCAAUCUGCCCUGCACUCUGGGACAAGCCCUGGAAACGGGGUCUAAUACCGGAUACUGACCUGCCUGGGCAUCCAGGCGGUUCGAAAGCUCCGGCGGUGCAGGAUGAGCCCGCGGCCUAUCAGCUUGUUGGUGAGGUAAUGGCUCACCAAGGCGACGACGGGUAGCCGGCCUGAGAGGGCGACCGGCCACACUGGGACUGAGACACGGCCCAGACUCCUACGGGAGGCAGCAGUGGGGAAUAUUGCACAAUGGGCGCAAGCCUGAUGCAGCGACGCCGCGUGAGGGAUGACGGCCUUCGGGUUGUAAACCUCUUUCAGCAGGGAAGAAGCGAAAGUGACGGUACCUGCAGAAGAAGCGCCGGCUAACUACGUGCCAGCAGCCGCGGUAAUACGUAGGGCGCAAGCGUUGUCCGGAAUUAUUGGGCGUAAAGAGCUCGUAGGCGGCUUGUCACGUCGGUUGUGAAAGCCCGGGGCUUAACCCCGGGUCUGCAGUCGAUACGGGCAGGCUAGAGUUCGGUAGGGGAGAUCGGAAUUCCUGGUGUAGCGGUGAAAUGCGCAGAUAUCAGGAGGAACACCGGUGGCGAAGGCGGAUCUCUGGGCCGAUACUGACGCUGAGGAGCGAAAGCGUGGGGAGCGAACAGGAUUAGAUACCCUGGUAGUCCACGCCGUAAACGGUGGGCACUAGGUGUGGGCAACAUUCCACGUUGUCCGUG